GGGAAAGAGGCCCUGGGCCGAGACAGAGGCGUGAGGCCAGGAGGCCCGUGAGGCCAGGAGGCCCGUGAGGCCAGGAGGCCCCGCGGCCUGCCACCCCAACGCACCUUGUAAAAGGCCAGUGGUCCAAGCUUCGCGGUCUCCACAGCACAGUGGAAAACACCCUGCAGGAGAUGCAGACAGGACAGAGCAGAGGUGAGCCUGGCACUGGCCGGCAUAUGGCCCCAGAGCAGCCCAGGACAGCAGCCCGUGGUUAACAGGAGCUAGAAGCCCAGGGCACCAGGCCCUGCUGCGUGAGCCCUGAAGGGGCUGCGGGCAAAGAGAAGGGGUCCAGGAAAACAGGACAGCGGGGCGGGAGCGGAUGCAGCCUGAGACAGGAGGCCAGCAGGACAGGCCUCAUCCCAGGAGAAGGCACAACCCUCCCCCACCCUGGCAAGGGAAAGCCCUGCCUCAGUCCCUCCCAUCGCCAGAGGGGACACUGGCCAGCGGCCUCACCUGAUACUCCCCCUUGGAGUUCAUCAGGCGGGUUUUCAGCACGUCCAGGGGCUGGCACAGGAACGUGGCACAUCCACCCUGGGGAGGGGGCUUGUCACCAACUGGCCUGCGGGCACCUCUCAUACCCCGGCCCCACUCCAGGAGCUGUCUGCAGGCUGCAGGCUCAGGGACCUCAGGGGACACCAGGACUCAUCCUAACAAGUUCCAAUGCCCCGGAGCCACUUGUGUGACCCAGAGAGGCAGCACCAGGCUCACCCAGUGCCUCCACCUGCCCACCUCACCUCACAGGGUGCCCUCAGCCCUGGAGGCAGGGCCAGGGACCCAGCCCUUGCUAUACCGGGCACUGACCGCAAUGAAGCUGGCGAUGAAGUGGGUGAAGGUGUUGUCAGACAGGUACCCGGUGCUGAGGACCAGCUGCUUGGCCUGGUCAUAGCAGGACAGCUGCAGUGGGGGCAGGGUGGUCAGGGCCCAUCACAGCCUCAGCUGGGGAAGGCCGUGACCAAGCACCGGCUCUGCCCACCACCUACGCCAGUGCCACACUGGGGACAGGGAGGCCCAGGCCCAGACCCAGGCUGCAGCCCUGACCACCUGUGCCCACAGGACAGCAGGUGCUCUACAAUCCCCCAGGCAUGGCAAUGGUGAGGGAGGCUGCCCACAAGCCCCACCUUCCACAGGAGCCCUACCUGACCCACGGUGACGAGGGCCCCGCGGCUAGAGGCCAUCGUCGCGCCGGAGAACAGCUUCCUCAGACCCUCUGCAGGAGGAAGGCCAGCCCUGAGCACACAGCGCAGCCCGAUGCCCACAGCACCCCAGGUCCUGCACACCACUCCCCUCCUCAGGCCCCUUCCCUGGGGUCCCAGGGAGCCGGCUCCUCUCACCUUCACGCGCCACACGGUACAGGCCAUCCAGGGCAUGGGCAUAGCUGCCAGGGACACAGAAAUGGACCACCUGAGGCUCACCUUGUCCACUAGCUCCUGGGGGUCCUCCCUAGGCCCUGGGAACUGCUGGGAAACCAUGAUGGACAUGCCCCUGGGGCUCCUGCAGAAGCCUCACGAGGACAGCCCCUCCUAGCUAAGCCACCCUGCCCUGUCUGUCCUGGGGGAGGUCCUGUUUUCCCAGAGAACCCCAGGCUCGGUGUGGCUCCCACCACAGAGGUCAGCACCUGCCCUCCUCCAGGCUGGAAGGCCAGAGGGACACCAGCAAGAAACCAGAAACUGCCUGGGAGUCUCGACCAGAGAGCGAGAUGGCUCAGGCUCUGGCCAGGGAUACUGCAGGCUGCUGGGAAGGACUGGGCUGCUGCAGCAGGAGGGGUGGCUGCACCCCAACCCACGUCACCACAGCUGGCCACCCUGAGAGCGGACAGAGAGGACCCCACAGGUGAUGUGGCCUGCUGGAGUCCUGGCCAGGUGGCGCAGGGCUGCCCAGGGUACCCUGCCUAGCCCUGGCCCCUGCUGGCAGAGCCUUACCCACUACUCACUUGCGCCGCUGAUUCGAGGGCAGCUUCAUGUCGUUCUGCAUCCUGAAAUGGCAGGUAGGUAGACACGUGGCCUGAGGUCCAGGGCAGGCCCCGGGGCAUUCACGCCCCUCCACCCCAUUCCCAGACGCCAGGGUCUGAGUUGCCUGCUCCAGGGUGAGCAUACUGCAGACUCCAGCAAGCCACAGGGCAAGCCCUGGGCUGUCUGGGGACAGGAAAGGGUACACACAAACCUGACAUUGACCAAAUCCGCGGGGGUCCCCACAAAGCCUCCGGUUAAACCUGGGGCAACAGAACCAUGGGGCCACAACUUGUGACGCCUGGAGGCAUCCGCCCCAGCCAGCCCCAGCUCAGCCAGCCGUGCUCACCACUGAAGCCGCCCAGGAGCACCUUGGUGGAGAAGGGGAGAGGCCCCUGGCUGCCCCUGGCCAGGUGGUCCCGCGCUGUCUCAUAGAUGGCAAAUCGCGUCAGGGAGUAGGUCAUCUGGGGAAGAGGGCCUGGCUCAGGACAGGGCACAACCCAGCCAGCCUCAAAGGCACGGCCAACACCCUGUGGUCCCUGGGGACAUGGAGGGGCUGACCCCAGGCCACUCAGCUAGUGAGCGUGGAACCUGUCCACAAAUCUGCGGUUGCACCACCCCCACCCACCUCAGCUCCCGCCCACCUCUGUGAGUGGCAGCCUGGGGUCCAGCCCCACACCCACCCUGGGGUCACUUGCUCCACAUACACCUUGAAAAAGGCUGUAAGCAGCUUGAGCUCCCUGGUGUGCCCAGCAGGUCCAAGCUCAGGCUGCCCAGGAGGUGCCCACCUGUCUGCAGAGCGAGGCGCUCAGGCCGUUGUAGAGUGCCAGGACACCGUCAGAGCGCACCACCUGCAGCGCCAUGCCUGUCAUGCGCAGUUUCACCUCCUGCUGUGUCUGCAGGUGCACCUGGGGCAAGGGGGACAGGGACGAGGCUGUGGGGUGCUGCCUGGAGCCCCACUCCAGCGCUGAGGACCCUUCCAGGAACGACCACCGUGAGACCCCCUCAGAGACCCUCAGCUCAGCACUACCCGUGCCCCAUCUCUAAGGCAGGGACAGUGGAGUCCCCCAGGGACUGUGUGCAGGGUGUCCCCGCCACACCUACCUGCUCUGAUGGCUUAUAUCCCAUGCAGAAGCUGGGGGCCAUGGGCCACAGGCCAGCAGCCAGGCCCAGGAUCUCACUCCCCAGGUCCCACCCUUGGCACUGACCUCAAGGAAGCCUGUCCACUGCCAAGCAUGGUCCCCCUUAAACUUACCCAGGGGAGCCCCCAAAAGGAUACGGGACAGCAAACAUGGGUAGGGACCGAGGGGGGCCUGGAACCCAGAUCAGCAGCAACACUGGCCUCCCAGGCGGGACAGAGGGACUGGACCCCAGAACAGUGGCCACAUGGAUAGCAGUCCCCGUUCAUGUGACAAGCAACCACAAGGACCAAGCCAGCAUGUGGGCAGAGUGAGACAGAUCAACAAACUUCAAAACAGUUUCUCAAAUGGCCACACCCUGAGGUCCUGGUAUUAAAGCGCAAUCUGGACAGUCCCCUGCCAAGACCGGGAGCCGGUUGGCAAGUUGAGGGGCCAGCUGCAGAGGGUCUCUGGGGUUUUUCCACCCGGCCGGCAGGCCCAGGCCCUGGGCGCUGCGCAGGGCGACCGCCGCGCCGGCGCCACUAUCCUACAGCUACGACCAACACGGGGUGCGCGGCCAGAGCGUCCCGGCGGCGGCCCGGCCGGCCUCACCUUGAGCAGGUCCAGCGGGUGUGUGCAGCAGGCGGCCCCGCAGGAGGCCAGUCCUCCGAAGUACCAGCGCGACACGCGCGCCUCGGCCGCCAUGGCCCGAUUAGCUGCAGUUCGGCCUGCCCGACCCGGCCAGAUCUCGGCCGCUACCGCGACCCCGGCCGCAACCGCCCCGAGCCCGGUUCAAAGUGCCACCGCGCGCCCGCGCCCCGCGCAGCCAAUGCGCCCGCGCGGCCCGGGGGCGGGACCCGCGGGACUCCGCCCCGGCGAGAGGGCCUGCGAGCCACGUCCCAGCGGGCGGACCCAGCGUCUUAAAGUGGCCGCGGGGAGGAGCCGAGCCUGGGACUGUCCGACCGAAGUCAAAACCGGGCCCUGACCGAAUGACCACCUCCACUCCCUAUAUCCCGGCUUAAGAUGCGGCUUCCAAAAUCACUCUGCCAUACCACAUGCACUGGGAGGCUUGGCCCCUGGAAGCACCCUGGCUUCAGCGCAGCCUGAACUUGCAACCUGCACCACCUGUACCAGCUCAUGUGCCACAAAGGCGAGGCCCUCGACCCCCCCCAGCACCCCUCAACCCGCCCACUGUGGAGGCGGACAGGAAAUUUCUUUGGAGCCAGCUUGCAGAUGAAGUAAAAUCCAGGGGCAAAAACAAUUAGUUAAGACAAUUGCACCACCCUCAACGUCCAGAGCUCGCAGCAAGUGUCCAGUUCAGGCUUUGCUCUGACAGUCAACCCCAGGCAGCCACCCUGGGGGAGGCUGAGAGGUGGGUUCCAGGCCCCAGCAGGAGAAACCAACCGACAUCUAGGCUCCCACCUGACCCCACUUCCUAAUAGUGUGAGGAAACAGAUGUACUCCUGGUUCAAGGUGCACCUGAGGCAAGGUGAAACCCAAGUCCCAAGGUUGCUUUAGGGGUAAGGCUUGGCCACUAGUGCCACCCUAUUCCUGCCCAGACAUAAAGGUGAGGCACUGGAAAGAAAGCCCUGGUCUCAUGAACCAGCCAAACACCCAUAUAAGGUGACCAGCCUUGUCUGAGGGCCCAGUGACCCUCCACGUGGAUGCAGAGCAAACCCCACCAUGCCUAUGCUAGUAGCCCAUGUGAAGAUGAGGAGACUGUCUUGUAGAACUCCAGGUGGACUCUGACCCUGCGGUCAUGUCCCAGUCAAGCGCUCCUGUGUUUUCAGGUGUGUUGGGAGUACCGCCCACGCAGAGAGGUGUCGGGUGGACAGGGAAGUCACAGGAAUUGUCAGGGGGACACCAGAUGAGAGUGUGAACUGCGACCCACACCUAGCCAAGGCGGGGAACUGCAAGGAGAUGUGGAAAUGGAUUUCACAGAUACAAGACAGUUCCUUAUGGACCACUUACAGUCUGGAGCAGGUGAAAGGGAGCUGGGGAGUCCUGGACUGUGGGGAGCCACUCCAAAUGCACACACCUUGGUCCUGAUGCACCACGGGGACCUCAAAGAUCACUAUAGAGUGGCUGGUAGUGCCGUGACUCAGGACUCCAGCUUUUCCCUUGCUUGGAUAUCAAGGCAUGGCCCUAGGAGCAGGGGACGCUCAGAGGGGUUGAGCUGCACUCACCUGUCCCCUUGUAACCCUAACCCUUGCCUCAUUUGAAUGGCCUCUCCCCAAUAAAAGGGUUCAGCGCGAGCUCCUCUUUGUCUCUUUCCAUGGACCCCUAAGGUCAGAGGGGCCAUCACAGGACCCAAAGAUAAAGGUC